GGAAUAGCUCAGCCUCCCCGCAGCCCCGCGCAUGCGCAGCCGCGCCCCGCCGGCUCCACGCGGAGGCGCCUGAUCCCGACGCCGCUAGGCGCGCGGUUUCUGAUCCGCUUUCGCUUCUCUGUCUUUGGAAACCUGGAGCUCGGCCCGCUGAGGUUGCGUAAAAUUACCAAAGCCACCGCGGGGCGUGGGGCGCGUGCCUGUAAUCCCAGGCUGAGGCAGGAGGAUCGUCACAAGUUCAAAGCCAGCCUGAACUGCAGAGUAAGAACUUCUCAACCAUCAGCAACAAAAAACCCCAAUCAGUUGCUGUGUACUUUUUCCUUGUCUGUGUUUGAUUUUACGGUAAGAAAUGUGCCAAUUAAAGUUGUAAAGGGAGAUUCCUGCCAUUCUCAUUUUCUCCGUGUCGCUCUUUGUCCUUUUCUCCACUUGGAGCUCUGGAGCUCGCUGCCUCUCCUGUGCUCCUCCCCUAGCUGGGACCCAGAAGGAAAGUGAACCAAUGCUCUGCUAAUCUCAAGAUCUGAAAUGCUGGCCACUGGCAGAUUAUUUUUCAGAUAUCGAACACACCUGCAAGAGGCACAGGACAGACGAGUCCUGCAGGCUGCAGUACAGGACUCCAUGCACUGGAACUCCGUGAACUCCAUGGCUCCAGUCUGGCAGGUCUGCUUUGAGGCCUGAGUGACUUCCUCCUUGCUUUGGAAAUCCCCAGCCUGGCAAUUUGGUGACUUUGAGCCCUCUGUGCCCUGCAGUGUGAGACAGCCAGCGGGGGUGACCAGUCGGUGAAAAUUUCAACAAGUUUUGUUUCCACUGUCUGCAACUCCGUUUCCUGAUUUUCUUUUUUUGGUGGUGCUGGGAACCAAACCCAGGGCCACAAAUGUGCAUGCCAGGCAAGUGCCAUACCUGGGAGCCACACUCCCAGGCCUCCCUUGGUGUCUCUGUGCCUUUCAGCAACUCCGCUGGGGAUUAACCUGUGCUGAUGUCAUAGGCAGCUAAAUUAGACAGAAAUGAAUAGUCAGGCAGGGCAGGGGCCAAGGCAUGCGAAGAUAACAGUGAAUCUGGCUGAGGCGCAUCUGGUGAAGGCCAGGCCUCAAGAUAAAGACGAAAUGGUCUCCCCGAGGAAUAAGCAGUACCUGGGAAUGUUUUGCAACUUCAGGAAGUCCAGACAGGCAUCAGUCAUCCAGCAGUUCCACUGCUAUGGAAAAUCGCCAAGGAAGACAUCACAGAGGCGCUCCAUGCGCUUCAGGAGCUGCUGGUGUGAGGCCAGGUGUCACCGUGUACACAGCAUGGUAACCGUAAAGAUGCCGAAUAGCGCCAACGGAAAGUUAAUAAAGGAUAUUGCCGUGCAUGCAUCAGAAAAAGCACCUAUUGCUGAGUAUGCUGUGGAAGCCACCAUUCUUGGAGAAAUGGAUGUGUCCAUGCUGGCAGGAUGGAGGGAAGGCCAAGGACACGUCGGGAGGGUCUCACGGCUGACACAAGAAACUUCCCUGGCACGGAAGGUGGUUGAGGAGCAUAAGCCUCUCCCUCCCUCAGAGCAGAGCAGCUGUUACCGCCAUGAUCAGUGUCAGGAAAAGGAAGGAAGGGAGGCAGAGAGGGAGGGAGAUCAAGCGAAUUUAAAGAUCUAGUUCCUUCUGAAGGAAUGGGCAUCGCUGAGGUUUCCAGCAUUACCGAUGCGAUGCGAUGGAUACACUGAGGCGCGGCGGCAGGAAGCUGUUCCUGCCAGAGCUCCGGGCUCUGCUGCAACCCUGCAGCUUGUUCAAAAUCCGGGUAGCUCCUUAGAGCUAGGAUGGGAGGAACCCGCUCUGUGCCCUACCAGAGUCCUGAGAGAAGACUGGGGUUAAAGCGUUGCCUUAGCCACAGACCUGGCUUACAUCUUUUUGCUUCCCCAGCUUUGUUCAGUUUCAUGAAGAAAUCACUAUCACAUUGGAGCUGUAUGAGUGUCAUCGAUGGGAACUUAGACACGAAGGAGGAGGGGAGCAGGAGAGGAAGAACAGGGCAGCAGGAGACUGAAAACCAAAUCUCGAAAAAGAUUAUUUAAAAAAAAAUCUUGAUUGGAACAGUCUGAGCUGUUCUUUUGUAGCAUUCUUAAAGAAACAGUGUUUAAAAAUAAAAAAGAAACAGUGUUUUUAUGCAGAACAAAACCAACACAGAGGAAAUGGAUAUUGUUGAAAAGCUGGUUAAACUGGUUCCAUGUGACCAUGAAGAUUUGCUGAAUAUCUCUCUUUGGCUUUACUAAACCUGUUCUGUGAUUCGGGACUGAGGAAUAAGACGAUACAAGUCGGGCUUCUUCCCAAACCCAGUGCCCUGCUCGGCCACAAAAACCACAAGCAAACAGCAGUGCAUGUGCUGUGCUGUAUCACUUUGGGUCCCUGUUUGCUGAUGCGGUAUCACAGGUAGUGAAGAUACUCUUUGGAUGUUCAAGUAAACGAACUCAUCUGAAACAUGAAUCGUGCUGCUAGUGAGAGGAAUAUGCAGCUAAUCUGUGAGGAAAAUAGGCUGAAUAUGCUUGUGAAAAAGACCCUGAAGCUGAGCAUGGUGGCCCAUGCCUGUAAUCCCAGCACUUGGGAGGCUUAGGCAGGAUGAUCGUUACAAAUUCAAGAUCAGCGAGGGCUACAAACUGAGCUGAAGGCCAGCCUGAACUGCAUAGCAAGACCGAAAAGCUUAAAAAAAAAAAGACCCUGAAGUUCAAGGAUUCCUUGCGAAUGAAAAUGAUUAGAAGCCUUUCCUAGCAUGAUGGACCAACUGAAAAUUUAGUGGUUACACUGGGACCUUGCAGGCCAGGUCUCUCAGGAUGAAAGAGGGAGUUUAUGAUCAAAUGGUUGGGGACAUUGGCACAUGGCAGGCUUGGGCUAGAAACUGGUUCUCCAGGGGCACAAGCUGGUUCCAUACCUCAAGGGUCAACUACAACCAGGUGCUGAGUGCGGAAGCUGACUAAUGACUGGAGCUGUAUUUAUGGUCACUCUUGCCCUGCCUUGCUUGCUGAAUCUGGGAUAAUUCCUGCCCUUAUUGAAUUGCUAGAUGCUUAACCAGAAGGUGAUGAAUUUUUGUGUCAGUUCAGGCUGGCCUUGAGCUCACUUUGUAACCAAAGCUGACUUCAGACUCCCAAGGAUCCUCCUGCCUCAGCCUCCCAAGUGCUGGGAUUACAGAUCACCUGCAGUUCCUCUGUCUGCUGUGGAGCACAGUUGGUGCUGACACUGUUCACUCCCCUGGCCGUGUCCUGAAGGACCUUUCCCAAAAGACUCCAGAAUGAACACUGCGAAGCUGUCAGAGGCUGCCUCCAGUGCCUGGGUUUAACAUAUGUGCAUUCACCAGUGAAGUUGUCCUGGCUAAAACUCCUGGCACCAGCUUCUACAUGGGCAUCAACCGUCAUCCCGUUGACUCCCCUAGACCCCAGUACAGCACCCCCUUCCAGCAUGAAGCAGUAAAGAAAGAAAUCUUCACCCCUUUUCAUAAUAAUAAUCAUAAGACGGGAUAUGAAAGAGUUUUGGCCCAGACAGGACACUGUAGCUGGUAAAGCCUCAGGUGGAACCAAGAAGCUCCAUCUUCCCCACCCCUAGGAAUUUACCUGUGACCUCUGGCGCCAAAUAAGUGCCAAUGGGCUACCUGUGCAUCACUAAUGCCCCUUAGGUUCCACCCCAAACCUAGGCUACUUAUAUGCCUCCACUUUACAUGUUCCACGGAGAGAUCGCCGACCUGGUGGGGAGAUGCCGCCCCCCCCCCAGGGGGUCAGGGGUGUCUCUCCCCGCAUUCUCAAAAUAAAGGUCAUUUAUAUUUCA